AGCGGCGGCCGCCGCCCCCGGGGCCGGCGGGAGGGCCGGGGCCGCCCCGCAGCGAGGGCUGGGCGCGGAGGAGGGGCCGGGGGCGGUGCGGAGGAGGAAGAGGAGAACGAGGAAGAGGAGGAGGAGGAAGAAGAAGAAGGGGGUGCCCUGACAGGAGCUGGGCCCCGAGGGCGGCGGGGCGCGGUGUGGGCUCAGCAUUGCGGGGGGAGGGAUUCACCCCCCCGGCCUGGCCGCCAUUUGCUGGGCGGGAGCCAUGAGGGGAGGGCGGUGGCUAGCCCGGGGGGUGGCAGGGUGGGAAGCCCCGGUCCUCAACUGAUCGGCACCGGCUUAAUUAAAGGCAUCGACUUAAUUAAAAGCACAUCUAGAGCCUUUACAGGAGCUGUCGCCAAGCUUAGAUGCGGCAGCUGUCCCUGUCCCUGCUUCCUAUGCUGGGGGUGGCAGCGGGGUGGUUCUUGGGCUUGCCCCUCUCCGCCUCGCUCCCUGCUCUGGUUGUAAAACGCUCAGAAAUAACGAGGCAAGCCCCAGGGAGACGGGAAGCAUGACUGCACAAAAGGGGCUGGAGGGGCCGAGGAGCGAAAUACUCCUCUUGGGAGAGCUGAAUGCCAGCUAGACCCAGCGUAUUUCCAGCCACAUGCAAAGCAGACAGUUGCUAAGGCAGCAGACUGCAGGGGCAGAUGAAGUGUGGCCCCGCUGCUGAAACAGGGCCUGGGAGCCAGGGCUCCCCCAUUGUUAGGUCCCACUAAUGGGGGCAGUGGGGUCUGCCAGCCCUCCGGCAGCCCCACCGGAUGCCUGGGUGGCGGCAGGGUCUGUAAAGCCCAGGGCAUGCCAGCCCCUCAACCCCUCGUCCCUCAGGGAGCAGAAUUCAAUUUGGCCUUCACAUUUGAAAGAGCACUGGCGCCAGGGCUGGGCAUCUUGGCCUUCGUUUUGCAUAAGGCAUCCUUCGCGUGGCAUUUAAAGAUGAAUUAAUAGUUGAUAAUGCUAUUUAUUGUCCGCGUUUGAAAGCUAGCCUUGAAAGUAAAAGGAUCCCUUCUUAAUGCAUUAUGUAAUCACCGGAGGAAAAAAGCUCUAGAGAACAGUUCAUGCAUUUUUCUCUGGACUAUCAACUCAAACUAAUUCUGUAGAUUUUUGAUUAGAAAUAAGCCUUAUUCAAGAAAUCUGUGUACAGUGACAAGGCAAUCCAGUGCUGAUGGAAGUUUUGUUCUCAAAAUGUAUGGGAGUCUCUGUGAGGAUAUAAGCCCUAGAGCAGAGGAAGAGAAUAAGACUAUUUCAGCAUUUCCUGUACUCAGAUGAACCUUAUCUCUAGCUUUUGGAAUUUGUCCUGCCUUUUUCACAAAGCAACCCCCAGGUUACCUGGGGAAAGAAAAACGUGUAAUGAGCAAGAGAGAAACAACCAAGAGGGAAAGUGCUUUGUUCACAACUAAUAGGUCUACUCUUAAUUAGGUGGGGUUUGAAAUAAACAAGGAGGAUCCGUGCUGUGGAGUGGCUGCUGCCAAGGGGUUACAGGUCUCUCAGUUUACUUAGACCACCUCUGGGAAAAGCCAGAACAAUUAUACCUCCUAGCAUUGAUCAGACAGGUGGAAAGACUUCUAAGACUUCUGUGUUUUUUUCAUGUAACCUACAUUUUACUUGUGUCUUUUUGCUCAGUUAAGGAAGACAACGAUUUAUCUUCAUGUGACCAUGUGUAUCAAUAAAAGCCGUGAUAGUUUUGGGGGAGAAACAAAACAUUUUCUUCUAUUCAAAACUCAUGAUUAUCUCUAUGAUCAAGGGUGAGAUUCUUUUUCCCAGUAGCCCUAAAAUUAGUACAUCUGUGUAUAUGAUCGCACUGAGGUCUGUGAAGUUUACUAACAAUUUCUGCAGGUGGGCAAGGUAGACCAAUUUUGAGAAUUUAGAAAGCAUUUCUGUUGAUGUUAGAAGCAUUACCACUGACAGGCUGGAAACACACUGGUGUGCCACUUAGUCUACUGUCUUAUUUCCAGCAAUAUUUUUUCUCUCACAGGAAUGCAGAACAAUUGACCAAAAAGUAGCAUUUUCUGUUUAACACCCUGAGGCUGAAUUAUGUCUCAUUAGUGUUUUAUGAAUACUGAUAGUUACUUCUAAAUGGUAUGAGUAGCCAUCGCAAGCUGAAAAGUCCUCUGAUGCAAACAUGAACUGGAAUGAAACAAGGUAAUUUAGAAUUCUACAGCAUUUACAUGAGACCAUGUUGUUAUCUCUCAUUAAAUAACAGGGAUGAAAAUUACCUGCUUGCAACAAAGCUAAAUAGAAUUUGGGAUUACACUUUAGGGUACGCACUGGUCAGUGAAAACAAACCAAAAAAAGAGCAGAGAGAAUAAUAUUAACUCCCCUUCUCUCAAUGAAACAGAAAAAUUGCUCUGCUGAAACGAAGUCUGGUGGUUUCACUGGGAAAAAUGUUGACACCAGCAUAGCAGAAUCAAGUCUCAUUAGGUAAGAAAAGGCCUGAAUUUUGGUACUCUAGUUAACACCAUCAGUGAAGUCAGCACCCUUAAGAUCAGCAACUCCAUGAUCAUUUCCUCUGUGACAAACCAUCAAGAACUGCUUUUUGAAAUUAUUAUCUACAAACUAUAUAAGCAGAGACACUAUAUAGUUCCUAUGUAGUAAGUCACUGCAUAAUCAUGAACUACUUCAAGCCGGUGUAAGCUUCCAGCUGAAAGGUCACUAUGCUUCCACAAUAAAAAUUGUUAUUCAACUCAAAGAAAAAAGUUGUAUGAGAAACUCUGAGUCUUCUGGAAGGGUAGUUCAGUAAACUGCUGAAGACCCUGCUAUAAAUCCUCAGGGCUGGCAAGCAAUAUACCUUGAACACCUUUUAUUACAGGUGACAACACUCAAGUAUUAAAGAAAAAGGAAAAAAAAAAAAAAAAGGCUUGGCUUUUACAGCCCAGCAUGAGAUAGUGGCUGCACACCACACCGGCAGUUGACUUACAAGUGUUUUAUCCUGUCCCUGCCAGAUGACAAUUCACAGGUUCUGGUGUGGUGCUCUUAUAGUCAUCCUAGGAGAAAAUGAACACAGAAUUAAUAUCAGCACUACCAAACAGCCUGACUUAUUCCUCACAAGGGGUUGUAGUACAUGCAUUGGAAGGCCCUUAUAAAUGAGCUCCAGAGUAUUGUUAGCUUACAGACUUUGAAUACAUGAUGUUAACUUCAAUUAAACAACAAAACGUAACACCGUUUUGUCUCCUUGUCAAUGAAAGUGAUUUGCAAUUUGUUUAAGGAUAAGAAGACCCAGCAUUUGAAACUACGUUUGAGGACAACUUUUCUUAUCUUCCCUUUUUCCUGAAUUUAAUGGGGAAAUGCCUAAUUAAAAUACAUACAUAAACAAACAUUUCUAGCUAGGAAACUCAAGGCCAAGUGAAAAUUAUCAUCAUAUAAAAAGAAACAUGGCAUGCAGUUACAAUUCAGAUGAUGAAAAAUUUUUAAAUUCAUGUGUAAAACUGUAUUACUUCUAACAUUGUUCGGAUUGCUUUGUAGCAAUGUGAUAUCACAGAAAGCUUUAAAUGAAAGUAGAAGUUUAAAUGAAAGCAGAAAGUUUAAAUGAACUUUCUCUAAAUGAAGCUUUGAAAUGCCUCAUUGGUACAGUAACCUGCCCGAUUAUUGACAUUGCUGUUGAGUCUUGUUUGUGUCCCCAGGCUGAACGCACAGCCUGCUUAGAGCUUUAUGCGCAGGAUGCACUGGUCUAGAACCUGAGAGAGAACAUCCAUAACUGCGUUAUCCAAAAUACCUAAAACUCCUUGAGUAGAAUACCUGCAUUGGGAUGUUUUAAAUAACAAUCAUACUGUAUCUCUGUUAAUACAGACCAGUAUAGUGCAUCCCUCUUCUUUGUCAGUGGGACAAGCUCUGAACCUAUAUUUGGAACUACAGGAAAUUUCUAAACCAUGUGUCAUGAAAAGUAUUUCUGAGAUAUCCUAGAUCAUUGAGUUAGUAGCUGGAUAGUGGCCCAGAAAAAAUAUAUUCCAGCUAGAACAGAAAUAGGGUUUUGGUUAGAGGACACACUUGCAGAUUUGUACACAGCACAGUUCUAACAAUUAUAAAAAUAAACAAACAACAACAAUUUGGAUAACUGAAGUCCUGCUCAGAUUAUCUCCCAUACAGCUAGGGCACAAAGCCCUGACACCUGGAGGAAUUAAAUACUUGAAAGUUUUAAAGCCAACGACUUUUUAAAACACAAAUACAGAUAUUUAAAUUUUGCAAAUGCUGCUCCACUACAAGCCAGAAGUAUCCUACUGGGGCUAUGAUGGUGUUUGCUCCAAGGAAUUCAAACAGUUGUUGCAGGGAAUCCAGAUGCUCCCCUUCCUGUUCGGCUGGAAUAUGCACAGUGGGUCCAUAACUAUUAUUUACAGUUUAAAAGGAUUUUUUCCCACUUAAGUGGAACUUGGGUGACAAGUAGCCCAGAGCUGACCAUCAGAAAAACUAGCAAAACAAAAAACAUGCCACUGCCAAGGUACAGCUUCCCCCAACAAGAGGCUUGGCAGAAGUCCUGCAAGUUCAUGGCCAGAAUUUCACCCCAGUGAACUUCCAUUUUCAGCACAUUCCUGCUCCUCCACAUCCGAGGAUCAAACCAGCUUUAUGAACAAAGCAAGCCGGAAACUGACAACCUGGCUGCAAAGGUUUCUCCCUGACAAAGACUGGCAUCUAGUUCGUCCUCAACAAAGAUGAGCAGUCACUGCGAGAAGCCCUUUGGAGAGGACCACAAUAUGUACAUCCAUGUGUGAAGAACUGGGGACACAAGAGUAAGAGCUUAUGGGAGAUGCAACGUACAAUCCUCUGCAUGCCAUUUCCAGAUGGAAGAUAAGGCAAGAAAAUGUCGUGUUAUAUUUAUACAAGAGUUGGUGUGUUAACUGCAACUGAAAAUGUUGCUGUUCUCCUAGAAAAUACGCCACAGCUUAGGCAUUAAAAGACCACCAGAGGACACUAUGGUGCCACUUACAUUCAAAAUUUAUUUACUUCAAGAAACUUCUCACCUCACGUUUUAAAGUUACUCAUAACUGUAUUUGGUGCAUCAAAUAGACAUUUUCUACAAAGAUGCAUUAAACUCAUCUUUAGACAGUGAAAAA